rnacentral:rRNA from 1 species
AGUGAACGCUGGCGGUAGGCCUAACACAUGCAAGUCGAACGGCAGCACAGUAAGAGCUUGCUCUUACGGGUGGCGAGUGGCGGACGGGUGAGGAAUACAUCGGAAUCUACUUUUUCGUGGGGGAUAACGUAGGGAAACUUACGCUAAUACCGCAUACGACCUACGGGUGAAAGCAGGGGAUCUUCGGACCUUGCGCGAUUGAAUGAGCAGAUGUCGGAUUAGCUAGUUGGCGGGGUAAAGGCCCACCAAGGCGACGAUCCGUAGCUGGUCUGAGAGGAUGACCAGCCACACUGGAACUGAGACACGGUCCAGACUCCUACGGGAGGCAGCAGUGGGGAAUAUUGGACAAUGGGCGCAAGCCUGAUCCAGCCAUACCGCGUGGGUGAAGAAGGCCUUCGGGUUGUAAAGCACUUUUGUUGGGAAAGAAAAGCAGCAGGUUAAUACCCCGCUGUUCUGACGGUACCCAAAGAAUAAGCACCGGCUAACUUCGUG